GACGAACGCUGGCGGCGUGCUUAACACAUGCAAGUCGAACGGAAAGGCCCUGCUUUUGUGGGGUGCUCGAGUGGCGAACGGGUGAGUAACACGUGAGUAACCUGCCCUUGACUUUGGGAUAACUUCAGGAAACUGGGGCUAAUACCGGAUAGGAGCUCCUGCUGCAUGGUGGGGGUUGGAAAGUUUCGGCGGUUGGGGAUGGACUCGCGGCUUAUCAGCUUGUUGGUGGGGUAGUGGCUUACCAAGGCUUUGACGGGUAGCCGGCCUGAGAGGGUGACCGGCCACAUUGGGACUGAGAUACGGCCCAGACUCCUACGGGAGGCAGCAGUGGGGAAUAUUGCACAAUGGGCGGAAGCCUGAUGCAGCAACGCCGCGUGCGUGAUGACGGCCUUCGAGUUGUAAACCGCUUUCGCCUGUGACGAGGCGUGAGUGACGGUAAUGGGUAAAGAAGCACCGGCUAACUACGUG
rnacentral:rRNA from 1 species